CCUACGGGGGGCAGCAGUGAGGAAUAUUGGUCAAUGGACGAGAGUCUGAACCAGCCAAGUAGCGUGAAGGAUGACUGCCCUAUGGGUUGUAAACUUCUUUUAUAUGGGAAUAAAAUGUUCCACGUGUGGGAUUUUGUAUGUACCAUAUGAAUAAGGAUCGGCUAACUCCGUGCCAGCAGCCGCGGUAAUACGGAGGAUCCGAGCGUUAUCCGGAUUUAUUGGGUUUAAAGGGAGCGUAGGUGGAUUGUUAAGUCAGUUGUGAAAGUUUGCGGCUCAACCGUAAAAUUGCAGUUGAAACUGGCAGUCUUGAGUACAGUAGAGGUGGGCGGAAUUCGUGGUGUAGCGGUGAAAUGCUUAGAUAUCACGAAGAACUCCGAUUGCGAUGGCAGUUCACUGGACUGCAACUGACACUGAGGCGCGAAAGUGUGGGUAUCAAACAGGAUUAGAUACCCGAGUAGUC
rnacentral:rRNA from 1 species